GUAGUUGAAUUUUAGCCCUGGCUGAGCGGUCCACCAAUUGGCUGGCACUGCUUCGGCUGGGGUUCACUUUCUGGUGAGCCAGUAUGCCCUUCAUUGGGUGUAUUGGGGAACCAGGACUUUUACCUUGAAAAAAUUAGAGUGUUCAAAGCAGGCCUAUGCUUGAAUACAUUAGCAUGGAAUAAUAGAAUAGGACUUCGGUUCUAUUUUGUUGGUUUCUAGGACCGAAGUAAUGAUUAAUAGGGAUAGUUGGGGGCAUUAGUAUUUAGUAGCUAGAGGUGAAAUUCUUGGAUUUACGAAAGACUAACUUCUGCGAAAGCAUUUGCCAAGGAUGUUUUCAUUAAUCAAGAACGAAAGUUAGGGGAUCGAAGACGAUCAGAUACCGUCGUAGUCUUAACCAUAAACUAUGCCGACUAGGGAUCAGACGAUGUUAAUUUACUGACUCGUUUGGCACCUUAUGAGAAAUCAAAGUUUUUGGGUUCCGGGGGGAGUAUGGUCGCAAGGCUGAAACUUAAAGGAAUUGACGGAAGGGCACCACCAGGAGUGGAGCCUGCGGCUUAAUUUGACUCAACACGGGGAAACUCACCAGGUCCAGACAUAGUAAGGAUUGACAGAUUGAGAGCCCUUUCUUGAUUCUAUGGGUGGUGGUGCAUGGCCGUUCUUAGUUGGUGGAGUGAUUUGUCUGCUUAAUUGCGUUAACGAACGAGACCUUAACCUGCUAAAUAGUUAUGCCAACUCUUGUUGGUAGUCAACUUCUUAGAGGGACUGUCGGCGAUUAGCCGACGGAAGUUUUAGGCAAUAACAGGUCUGUUAUGCCCUUAGAUGUCCUGGGCCGCACGCGCGCUACACUGAUGAAGUCAACGAGUUUAUAACCUUGGCCGGAAGGU
rnacentral:rRNA from 1 species